ensembl:lncRNA
CCACUAGGUAGCAAAAUCAGGAAGCAGAAAUUGGCAGAACACGUGUUCGUCAAAAAGCUCUAGAAUAUUUAGUUGCAGGUAGAUCUGUUCGGGAUUUAGUUGUUGAGCGAACCUUGUAUUGCAACGGAGAUUUGUUAGUGAACGUGUUAUCUCUGCUCUAUAAGGUGUCCGGCCGCCAUCCCCUAUUCACGUGCUUUUAUGUAUUGGAGAACCUGCUCAGCAAGCUGCAGUCUGCAACUUCUGCGGGAGGUUUAAUUCAAAUCCAGUACUGUUGCAUUUCAGCAAAAGCACAAGGGUGAAAGUCUUUGGUCUCCUUCAACUCCUGAGCAACAACAGCAGCAGUGGCAUCUUCCCCUUCUUUCCCCUAAGGCUGUAGCUGCUCCAAACAAAGUUUGAGGCCACAGAGCGCAACACCCUCCUCACACACUCCCCAGGAUUGGACCCCCCAACUAGGCUCAGAUGGGAAAUCUAAGGAAAUCAAACAACCAUGGUUAAGGACUUUGUCUCCGCCCUCUUGUUCCUCCUGACGGCCUGAUCCCAAUCAUCUAAACAGUCAGGUUGUCUUUUUGGAUCCAUCUCAAAACGGUGUCAUUGUUCUUGUACUUCAGUACUCCGAUUAAUGUGGAGUCACAAGGGACACUGAAAAGUGGUUCUGGGUGCUGGUAUACACGGCAAAGCUGACUUCCAUCCCUCUCCUCUAUGACCUCGCAGCAUUCGCGGCGAUUCAAAAUAAAAGAAGAAUUGGACCUCUGCCUACCAUGCUCCAUUGGCUGUCCAGCGCAUUCCUCCAGCCUUUUCACCACUUGUGACAGGGGGCAUCUUCCACUCCUUACCAUCCUCUUUAUUUUCUUGAGACAAUUUUCAAAUUUAAAAGCGCUACAAUUGUCCAAUCCUCCAAAGGUCACGGCAUCCUCCACAAUGUGCAACAUUGAGUGCACGUUGUAGACCAGAAACUGGUUACCAUAAAGUUCUCGGCCUCUCUCAACAAAGAAUCGAAGGAGAUCAGCAGCAUAUCUCCAGUGUUGCUCGACCAAUGCUGGACUUACAACUCUUUAAGAUCUCGAGCGAAGCUGGAAGGGAUGUGUGGACGGAGGUUGGUGAGCCUGCUGCUGACCUCCUCUAUUUGGGUUGCCGACAUCUUCAGGCCCUUCACUCCUCUGCACCACAUGAAGAGAAGCCUCUUCAUUACAACCAAGCAUGCCUGGUGCAUGUAAUCGAUGGGAAAUGCACUGAUCAUGUUUAUGGGUAAAUCCAAAAGCGGGGUGCUGCCAUGAUGAUGCUCGCCCUGUGUCUGUUGGCGGAAGGAGUCGUCACUACGAGCCACCACCUCUGUGUCUUGGCCACUGGACAGGAGGUUGUUGACAUCCAUCACCAUGUCUUCCAGGAAUUCCAGAUUCUGUGAAAGAUUUGCGUUGAAAAUACAUGCAACAGGGUUCACGCCCAUGCAACUUCUAUCAACAUCACCACCGUUUCUAUAACGACACCUUUACUAUACCACUUGUUUUUACUAACUAGCUUGCUGGUAACGUUAACCAAUAAAGCUGUAGCAUACUUGGCAUACUUGUUACGCGACUGAUGUUUUGCAAACAGUAGCGUUUCAUACGCAAAGUGGAUAAUUAUUUUCUCCUACUCUCCUAAUAAUAUCUUGAAGCCUCUGCUGGCCUUGACUGACG